UGCAUGUGCAAAGGCACGGAGGCACACAAGUUUGCAACACUGGGGCAGUGUGAGCAAUUCAGAAGGAGUAUCAGCAAGGUGCUGCCUUGCUUCAGUGACACAUCAUGGGCCAAGUUCCUUAGCUUAGCUGGCAGAGCCUGGCAUGAGACAAUCCCUGCCCACCUUCCCAAGCCCAUAUCUUGCUUCACAACCACCAGCCACAUGGGGUCCCGUUUGCCUUUGGAUCAUCCUAAUACCCAGAUCAAUCUCUGGUGCUAUACUUGAUGGAAAUUUGUUGAAAGAAGAAAGGAAAACAUCAACGAAUGAAUGGAUAAAUGGAUGAAAGAUUUGGAAAGAGGUUGGUCUGGAUAUCUGCCAUUAGUUUCUCCAGGUCUGAUCUCCACCCUUCUUCAUCCAAUUCUGUGUCGUGGAAGGGUGACCAGUAUGAACCAUAUCAGUAGCUACCCUCUGGGUUGGAUUCAGCCAAAAUGGAGAAGCUAAGGGAGAGAAAGGAGUUGGUGCUGCCAACCAGCUGCAUCUCUCCCUGGAUGGUCUCUGUAAGGGAUCGCCUCACACAAUCUCUGCUUCUAGGGAAGGACCCAAGUUGCAAAUUGUGGAGGUGAAUGUCAAGAAAUGCUGAGUUCCCAGAGAGGAGAUGGUGGGAGACCAGUCAAGAAAACAUUAAAGGGAGGCCGCAAUUAUGAGAUAUUUUGAAACUUGAUGAGAAUGUCUAUACUUCUAGUGAGGUGGAUGACACUAAUGUCACAGUUCCUACGGAGCUAUGGGCACCACCAUAUCCAUUCAAUGAUUCUUCAUUCUGACCACUCCCUGUCUUCUCUUACAGAAACACAGCACUCCAAAAAGUCAUAACUCUUGAAAAGGGUUCAGGGAUGAUGGUCAGGGGUGUCCCCGCACAGAUAACACAGAGAUACCAGCUGAGAAAGUAAGUGGGUGAAGAGUAAGUUGGGAACUUGGGUGAAUUUUAGAAGAGCAGACAUGGGCAUGAGGAAGAGACCGAGGAGUCAACUAGAAAGGAGCAAGAUGAUCGCUGAGUUACACAUGGAAAGAGUAUUAGUUAAACACUGAGCUUUCCACAUGCUGUUCUGUGCCCCUCCAGAGAAGGCUGGUGGAGAAAAAAAGCCACUUUAGCUCUCAAUAAAUACAUUUUCAAAGAUUAGAGUCCAGACUGGGAAAGAAAACAAACAGAAUUUUUUGCCUGCAAGGUAAUUCAUAGUAAUCCACUGGGAGGGCCUUGGGAAAUUCAAAGCAUUAUGUUAGGAGUGUGAAAAGGUAGCACUUUUAAUAAAUUUCCCAUUAUUUCCGACUGAAUAGGUCAAGCAGUAAACACUGUUCAAUACUGGCCUUUUAUUGUGGCUUGGGAAAUUUUGGAAAGCAUUAUGAUUCUUUAAUAAGCCCAUCGAGUAUAAUGUUUCUAUUGGGACAUAUACUUGUGGGUCUCUACACACAAAGGCACACCUCGCUGUGGCUGGAGACAAAAGGCCACUGCUGUCUUCCUGAAAGGGGCCUUGCAGUCUCCUGCCUGCAAUCAACAGUAUGAUCCCUCUGGGUCCUGCAUUGGAGGGGUGAGUGGAGUAGGGUUGAGGUGGGAAAAUCUGAGUUAUUAAAUGCUGUUGGAAAAACCCACUCAACCUUGAGAACUGUCCACUCUCUCCUACGCCCAGCCCUCACCAAAGCUAAGUGUUCCUUCUAUUUAACUCCCAUUGACUCUGUCUUCUGUUCAUUCAGUGGCCAUGGUAACACCUGUCAUGUGAGUUUUCCACUCCAACAAUAUCCUCUUUCCACCCUGUUCAUUGCAAAUCCCUGGCUUCCCUCUCUCAUAGUACAUGACAUGCUCACUUGUUUUCCUGGGAAACACUUGUUUUCCUGGGAAGACUUAUUAAUUAAUUAAAUAAUUUUUAUUGUGUUAUUUUAGUCACCAUACAGUACAUCGUUAGUUUUUGAUGU